CCCGCCCGCUGGCCCCGCCCGUGUCCCCACCUGCCACCCGCUGGCCCCGCGCGCUGCCCGCUGUCCCCGCCUGGUGUCCCCACCUGCCGCCCGCUGUCCUCGCGUCCUGUCCGCUGGCCCCGCGCGCUGCCCGCUGUCCCCACCUGGUGUCCCCAUCUCCCGCCCGCUGUCCCCGCCUGCUGUCCCUGCCCGCUGUCUGCACCUCCUGCCCGGUGUCCCCGGGCCCCCGUCGCCCACUGUCCCCACCCAGUGUCCGACUGGUGACCCCACCCGCUCUCCCCGCCGCCCACCUGCCGCUCCUCGCGGGUUUGCCCACAGGUGCCCCGCCCUCGGUCGGAUCCCCUUGGUCGGACGUCGGAGUUCAAAGUUUAGGAUCAACACAGCUCAACCCGAGUCGGAGUUAAACCCCAAGGAGGCAGAGGGUGCGGCGCAGGCGGGGCGGCGGGACCUCGACCUCCGCUCGGGGCCGGGCCGGCCGCGUGGUCUCCCCCCAGGCCCCUGGCCCCGGGGUCUCCCUCCCCAGUCCGCAGCCCGGCUCGGGGACGCAGGAUCCGAGUGAACCAGGCCGAGCGGCCGGAGCGCCUCGUGCAGGCAGCGCGCGUGGGGCCAGGAGCCUCGACCCGCAAGACCACGGACACUUGCUGCCGGGCCCGGGGGGACCUCGCGCCUACUUGGGUCUCUGGCAGCCGGUGGACCCCAGCUCAGUUGGCCCCAAGGCCGGGGGCCCCCAUCAGGACCCGCCCCUCAGUCUGGGACGCCCGAGAACAGUCCUUCCCGUUCUGGUUCCUCCCUGGAGCCUUGCGCCCUCGGCGCGCCCGGGCCUGGUCGCCGGGCUGUCCGCUCCCGGAGCGCCCUGCGAGGUGACCACCGCGCACACCCGCUCGGAGCGGGUGUUUGAGGCCGUCCUGCUGCGCGUCCUUCCCCGCCUCCACCCACCGCCUGUGCAGGCCUUCCGCCUCUGUUCUUUUCAUGACUUUUUUAAAAAGUUGAUUACCUUUUUCCAAACCACACUUCUAUCGUAUCAAACUCGAGAACUAUUUCGACCUACAUUUUGAAGAAUCAGAAUGUUCACUUCUUUGCAAAAUAAUAAACACAUCUUUCUCUUGGUUUGGGAGUCCCAAAUGAUUAUUCUCUCAAUUAAAUUCGAUUGUGUUCCCGAUGAAUAUGGAAACAGCGAAUGGUGGAAUUCUUGCCUUCUCUUUGCUGGGUUCCAAGUUCGCUUGACUGAUGUGGAUGGAGCACCUUUCCCCUGCAAUCUUUGAGGUACUGUGAGAAAUUAUAUUAUUUUCUUCCCUCUCUGUUGGCAUAAAGACAAUUGCUAGUGAUUACAUUACCUGAAAGGAAAAGUGAAUUUAAUAGUUGGAACAGCAGAACCGGAGAUCAGAGCUCUUUCUCUGAGUCUUCUUCCUACUGCGAUAACCUCCUUUUCAAGAAGGCUGAAGCCCGGUCUCGGACCUGAGGCAGAGGUGAUCAGGGAACAAGAUCCAAUUAUUCCAGUUCGCUAUACUGAGCAACUUAACCUGGAGGUAGAAUUAACUCCUAUUAAUACUCAUAAGUGAAGGGAUG
rnacentral:lncRNA from 1 species